GACGAACGCUGGCGGCGUGCUUAACACAUGCAAGUCGAACGGAAAGGCCCUGCUUUUGUGGGGUGCUCGAGUGGCGAACGGGUGAGUAACACGUGAGUAACCUGCCCUUGACUUUGGGAUAACUUCAGGAAUCUGGGGCUAAUACCGGAUAGGAGCUCCUGCUGCAUGGUGGGGGUUGGAAAGUUUCGGCGGUUGGGGAUGGACUCGCGGCUUAUCAGCUUGUUGGUGGGGUAGUGGCUUACCAAGGCUUUGACGGGUAGCCGGCCUGAGAGGGUGACCGGCCACAUUGGGACUGAGAUACGGCCCAGACUCCUACGGGAGGCAGCAGUGGGGAAUAUUGCACAAUGGGCGGAAGCCUGAUGCAGCAACGCCGCGUGCGGGAUGACGGCCUUCGGGUUGUAAACCGCUUUCGCCUGUGACGAAGCGUGAGUGACGGUAAUGGGUAAAGAAGCACCGGCUAACUACGUGCCAGCAGCCGCGGUGAUACGUAGGGUGCGAGCGUUGUCCGGAUUUAUUGGGCGUAAAGGGCUCGUAGGUGGUUGAUCGCGUCGGAAGUGUAAUCUUGGGGCUUAACCCUGAGCGUGCUUUCGAUACGGGUUGACUUGAGGAAGGUAGGGGAGAAUGGAAUUCCUGGUGGAGCGGUGGAAUGCGCAGAUAUCAGGAGGAACACCAGUGGCGAAGGCGGUUCUCUGGGCCUUUCCUGACGCUGAGGAGCGAAAGCGUGGGGAGCGAACAGGCUUAGAUACCCUGGUAGUCCACGCUGUAAACGGUGGGUACUAGGUGUGGGGUCCAUUCCACGGGUUCCGUGCCGUAGCUAACGCUUUAAGUACCCCGCCUGGGGAGUACGGCCGCAAGGCUAAAACUCAAAGGAAUUGACGGGGCCCCGCACAAGCGGCGGAGCAUGCGGAUUAAUUCGAUGCAACGCGUAGAACCUUACCUGGGUUUGACAUGGAUCGGGAGUGCUCAGAGAUGGGUGUGCCUCUUUUGGGGUCGGUUCACAGGUGGUGCAUGGCUGUCGUCAGCUCGUGUCGUGAGAUGUUGGGUUAAGUCCCGCAACGAGCGCAACCCUUGUUCACUGUUGCCAGCACGUUAUGGUGGGGACUCAGUGGAGACCGCCGGGGUCAACUCGGAGGAAGGUGGGGAUGACGUCAAGUCAUCAUGCCCCUUAUGUCCAGGGCUUCACGCAUGCUACAAUGGCUGGUACAGAGAGUGGCGAGCCUGUGAGGGUGAGCGAAUCUCGGAAAGCCGGUCUCAGUUCGGAUUGGGGUCUGCAACUCGACCUCAUGAAGUCGGAGUCGCUAGUAAUCGCAGAUCAGCAACGCUGCGGUGAAUACGUUCCCGGG
rnacentral:rRNA from 1 species